UACCCAUGGUGAGGACACAUAGUGAACAACUCCUUAAAUCUCUCUCGAGACUGAUACAAACUCUCAUUGUCAUUUUGUGCAAAGGUGGAGAUUUACCUUUUUAAAGCA